UACGUAGGGGGCCAGCGUUGCUCGGAAUUACUGGGCGUAAAGGGUUCGUAGGCGGUGCGGCAAGUUGGGAGUGAAAUCUCUGGGCUUAACCCAGAGGCUGCUUUCAAAACUGCCGUGCUCGAGUGCGAGAGAGGUCAGUGGAAUUGCAGGUGUAGCGGUGAAAUGCGUAGAUAUCUGCAGGAACACCCGUGGCGAAAGCGGCGCGCUGGACCACUACUGACGCUGAGGAACGAAAGCUAGGGGAGCAAACAGG
rnacentral:rRNA from 1 species